rnacentral:rRNA from 1 species
AUACGUAGGUGGCGAGCGUUGUCCGGAAUUACUGGGCGUAAAGGAUGCGUAGGUGGAUAUUUAAGUGGGAUGUGAAAUCCCCGGGCUCAACCCGGGAACUGCAUUCCAAACUGGAUAUCUAGAGUGCAGGAGAGGAAAGCGGAAUUCCUAGUGUAGCGGUGAAAUGCGUAGAUAUUAGGAGGAACACCAGUGGCGAAGGCGGCUUCCUGGACUGUAACUGACACUGAGGCAUGAAAGCGUGGGUAGCAAACAGGAUUAGAUACCCUGGUAGUCCACGCCGUAAACGAUGGGUACUAGGUGUAGGAGGUAUCGACCCCUUCUGUGCCGUCGUUAACACAAUAAGUACCCCGCCUGGGGAGUACGGUCGCAAGACUAAAACUCAAAUGAAUUGACGGGG